rnacentral:rRNA from 1 species
ACGAACGCUGGCGGCAGGCCUAACACAUGCAAGUCGAGCGCUACCUUCGGGUGGAGCGGCGGACGGGUUAGUAACGCGUGGGAAUAUACCCUUCACUAUGGAAUAGCCUCGGGGAAACUGAGAGUAAUACCAUAUACGCCCUUCGGGGGAAAGAUUUAUCGGAAUUGGAUUAGCCCGCGUUAGAUUAGAUAGUUGGUGGGGUAAUGGCCUACCAAGUCUACGAUCUAUAGCUGGUUUGAGAGGAUGAUCAGCAACACUGGGACUGAGACACGGCCCAGACUCCUACGGGAGCAGCAGUGGGAAUCUGC